rnacentral:rRNA from 1 species
CGGACGGGUGAGUAAUGUCUGGGAAACUGCCUGAUGGAGGGGGAUAACUACUGGAAACGGUAGCUAAUACCGUAUAAUGUCGCAAGACCAAAGAGGGGACCUUCGGGCCUCUUGCCAUCAGAUGUGCCCAGAUGGGAUUAGCUUGUUGGUGGGGUAACGGCUCACCAAGGCGACGAUCCCUAGCUGGUCUGAGAGGAUGACCAGCCACACUGGAACUGAGACACGGUCCAG